rnacentral:rRNA from 1 species
GGAGGGGCGCAAGCGUUGUUCGGAAUUACUGGGCGUAAAGGGCGGGCAGGUGGUCCGUUAAGUCGUUUGUGAAAAUCCGGGGGGGCUCAACCCCGCGAAAUGCAGGCGAUACUGGCGGACUAGAGAUCGGUAGAGGCUAGCGGAAUUCCUGGUGUAGCGGUGGAAUGCGUAGAUAUCAGGAAGAACACCAGUGGCGAAGGCGGCUAGCUGGGCCGAGUCUGACACUCAUCCGCGAAAGCGUGGGGAGCAAACAGGAUUAGAUACCCUGGUAGUCCACGCCGUAAACGAUGGGCACUAGGUGCCGGGCCUCUAGACAGGUUCGGUGCCGCAGUUAACGCAUUAAGUGCCCCGCCUGGGGAGUACGGUCGCAAGGCUG